CAGCCGUAAACUAUGCUCGCUAGGUGUCAGGCAUGGCGCGACCGUGUCUGGUGCCGCAGGGAAGCCGUGAAGCGAGCCACCUGGGAAGUACGGCCGCAAGGCUGAAACCUAAAGGAAUUGGCGGGGGAGCACAACAACGGGUGGAGCCUGCGGUUUAAUUGGACUCAACGCCGGACAACUCACCGGGGACGACAGCAAUAUGUAGGCCAGGCUGAAGACCUUGCCUGAAUCGCUGAGAGGAGGUGCAUGGCGUAGACGUCU
rnacentral:rRNA from 1 species